rnacentral:rRNA from 1 species
CUUUCCUUGAUGACGACUGGCGCACGGGUGAGUAACGCGUAUCCAACCUUCCCAUAACUACGGGAUAACCCGUUGAAAGACGGCCUAAUACCGUAUGAUAUCGUUUGCUGACAUCAAAUAACGAUUAAAGGUUUAGCGGUUAUGGAUGGGGAUGCGUCUGAUUAGCUUGUUGGCGGGGUAACGGCCCACCAAGGCUACGAUCAGUAGGGGUUCUGAGAGGAAGGUCCCCCACAUUGGAACUGAGACACGGUCCAAACUCCUACGGGAGGCAGCAGGC